AGAGUGGCUUGUUGUCCUCUUGUUUAUUUGUUAUUCAGUUGUGUUGUAUUCAGUUAAAUAAAAUUUGCCUAUAUAUUAUGGGUAUUUUUUUGUAAAAAUACAUGAUCUAAAAGUUAGAGAAGUGGAAGACUCGUUCCGCUAGUAAAAAUCCAUUCAACCCAAAAGCUUAAGCCUGUUGGGCCGGAUCCAUUAAUAAACAUCGAAUUUAUUAGUUUCUUGUUAAUUAUUCGAUAUGAAACUAUUAACAAACGAA
rnacentral:lncRNA from 1 species